rnacentral:rRNA from 1 species
UACGAAGGGGGCGAGCGUUGUUCGGAAUUACUGGGCGUAAAGGGCGCGUAGGCGGCCCCUUUUGUCGCGUGUGAAAGCCCCGGGCUCAACCUGGGAACGGCGCGCGAAACGGGGGCUUGAGUUCGGGAGAGGAGAGUGGAAUUCCCAGUGUAGAGGUGAAAUUCGUAGAUAUUGGGAAGAACACCGGUGGCGAAGGCGGCUCUCU